GAUGAACGCUGGCGGCGUGCCUAAUACAUGCAAGUCGAACGCAUUGAGAAAAGUGCUUGCACUUUUCAAUUUGAGUGGCGAACGGGUGAGUAACACGUGGGCAGCCUACCUGAUAGCGGGGGAUAACGAGUGGAAACAUUCGCUAAUACCGCAUAACAAUAGAGAAGGCAUCUUCUUUAUUUAAAAGGCGCUUUCAAGCGUCACUAUCAGAUGGGCCCGCGGUGCAUUAGUUAGUUGGUGGGGUGAAGGCCUACCAAGACGAUGAUGCAUAGCCGAGUUGAGGGACUGAUCGGCCACAUUGGGACUGAGACACGGCCCAAACUCCUACGGGAGGCUGCAGUAGGGAAUCUUCCACAAUGGACGAAAGUCUGAUGGAGCAACGCGGCGUGUGUGAUGAAGGCUUUCGGGUCGUAAAGCACUGUUGUAUGGGAAGAAAUGCUAGGCUAGGAAAUGAGCUUAGUUUGACGGUACCAUACCAGAAAGGGACGGCUAAAUACGUGCCAGCCGCCGCAGUAA
rnacentral:rRNA from 1 species